CCAAACUCCACCCAGGAGCAGCCUUCCCCAGACCCCUGCUCUGGCUCCUGCCUGGCCAGCUCAGCUCUUAAAGAGCUUAGCAUCAAAGUACAGCUGAGACACUCCAAGCUUCUGUCUGAAUUCUUGAUGUGGCUGAGACCUUUUAGCAAUGCCGUGGAGGACGAGAUUUUCCCUGUUCAUUCUGUCACCCCCUGUCCUCACUGGCACAGUUAAAGAACGCAUUCCCUGCAUCUCACACCAGAGAACACUGCUGACUCCUGUAUGAGCUCCAGCCUGCUCCCCAAAUUGAGACCAGCUCAGGGGGGAGCAGGGUGCACUUCAGAGGCUUCUGCAGAUGUCUGAUUUGCUUUUUGUUUUUGCUCUUGGAAUCGCAGCGUGGCCAGCUCCGGGCUCUCCCGGCAUCACUUCAGUGCCAGCACCCGUCUGACACCGCUCCUGCCAGGUCCUGCCUCCCUCCCGCAGCAGCGGCUGCAACUUUUGCUGCUCCUCACAACGCUGCAUCCCCGGGAAAGCAGAGCUCCUCCGAGCGGAUUUGGGGGUGAAGGGGCCACGGCCAAGAAGGGAUUUUUGAUGGAUGGAUUGGUGCAGUCUCCUGGGGAUGGAGCCCUGGUUGUGGCCUGGCAGUGCCUGGAGCUGAGGAGUGCUGGAUAA
rnacentral:lncRNA from 1 species